UUUUGUGCAAGCAGGAGGCUGCCCCUGGAGAUGCUGUGCGUGUGCAGGCCCCGGCGGCAGCGGGAGCAGGCCCGAGCAGCCGGGGCAGCGAGCGGGGAAGGCCCCGAGCCAAAGGCAGCGCCGGGCCCUGCUCAGAGCCGGGGACACGGAGCCAGCACAGCCCCAGCCUGGUGGGACGGAGCCGGGGGAGCCCAGCCAGAGCCACGACACCUAGUAACAAAUAAAUAGCAAACAAAGAUGUGCCGGGGAACAACAAUCAGCUUUAAAAGUUAACAGGAGAAACCUGGAAAGUGUAAAACGUAUUUGCGUUGCUAGGCAAAGGCACUGAAACUAAUUCUAGAGUAAUGCUGUGUCAAGUAGAGUUUUGCACAGACGAAUUCAAAGACCAGAAAACAAGGAAGAUUAAUUGUUAUUUAAAUUUCCAGACUUGGAUCACUCCCAUAAGCUUGACAAUGAAAAAUUAAUAAUACGGAUUCAUGAAGUUUGCAAUAAAAAGAAAGAGGCCAAUGUUAUGUUCUUAACAGGCAUUAGCUAAGGGGCAUGGAAAGGUUUAAACUGUUACCAUUCAGAGCAGUGAUGAUGAGUGAAAAGUGACACAGGAAACUUGGGGACUGUUUUUAAUCACUCUUGCAUAGCUGUUAAAGGCACAAUAAAAUAGCAACACGACAUUAUAAAUAGAGCAUGUAAAAGAGCCUUCUGUGACAGGGAGAACUGUGACAGACGCCCUUAUUAGACAGGUUGGCUUAAGCAUUCACUCUGUCACCCUCCCCAGCUGCUCCAAUGCUCUGCCCCAUCUCAAAGCGAACUCAGCUUGCUCAGCUUUGCUUGGCACAUCUUUAGGUUAAUAUUAAAAGGGUGAUUUAUCAGACAGUUAGUUUAAAAAGCAAAGCAAGCACCAGCACAAAUGUGUUAAGACUUUUUCACAGGAAGGAUGUCAGCUUUGUUGUAAAAGUCUCAUAUGAUGUGAAGUACAAUUUAAACAGUCUGGGAAGCUUGGAAGUAGAUUUGUAGAGAAGAGACCAUCUUCCCAUGAAGACACUGGGAGAGGCUGGAGCUUCCUGGAGAGUUCUGGUUGUGUCAGAACUGAAUUUUGCACAUCUGUCUGCAAACCACUCCAAAAAAGGCAUUUCACAACAUUGUCUUUGCCUUGGUUUUCAAAGAAUCGUAGCACCAAUAAUUCCCACCAAAGUCACCAGGAGCAUGCAACCAGUGAAAGGAAUCUGAACGUUUAUGUAAUUUAUGAAGAAUAAAUUAUCAUCAAUCCAUUUAGUCUUGAAAUGUGGCCUGCAACCAUAUUAAAUUCUAGAUGUUAUUCAUAAUUUACAGCAAGAGUCUCAGCACAGAACCUGAAAGCUCAAAAAAAAAAAAAAAAAAAAGACAAAUUUUUCUGGUUUUUAUAAUUCACUUUGGGUUCUUAUUUCCCUGCCAGAUAUGAACUGUAAUAUUGAACAUAAAAAACAACUAUCAUUCAGAGUGAGCACUGAAGAUUACAAAUUUGUUUCCAGCUGUUAUUUCCUUUAGUUAUUACAUCACAGACGUGCACACAUUUAUUUUGAUAAAAAUUUUAUGUAUUUAAGGCCACAGUUAAAGAAAAUGGGGUCUGCUUCUAAUGAGUUGUUAGCAUUACCUGCUCUUCAUAAUCCUACAACAAUGUAUAGCAUUAAGCCCAUAAAAAAGAAUACUGGUGUUCAUGUUAUUUAGAUUCCUUAUUCUUCCUUCCUUUCCCCAAAUGUGUACUGUGUUCACCUAAUCUCACUUGUCAUUCUCAGAAAUGUUUAAAAUAAUGAAAAGAAACUCCUUAAAGAGAAAGAUGAUUUCCCUUAAGGCUAGGCAUAACUGAAGUAAUCCAAGGAAAUAAUAUCUAUAGUGCUCAAAGAUGAAGGCUCUUUCACAAGACCUACAGUUUUGGACAUUUUCAUUUACAUUCUUCUUCCAAUGUGAGGAAGAAUAUCAAUGAUUAAGAACAAUGAAUUUUUGGUAGAUUACCCAACAGAGUUUAAAAAAACCCCACCAAACCAACAAAUAAUAAAAAGCUCACUAAAACCUUGAAAAGGAAAUCAAACAGCAAUUAAAUAAAUAUGAUUACAUUUAAGUGUGCACUUAAUACAUGUAGGAAAUCCUCCCAGUUUCGUAAACAAAUGAGAGUGCAAGAAGAAGUUCACAUAUAAGUCAACCACCCUGCACUUCUGCAAACAGACAUGCCCCACCUCACCAGGAGGCAGCUGUGUGCACAGUAGACCAAACCUUUCAUGUGUCAUCUCCUAAGAUUAAAAAGGAACACACAGCAGUAUCUUACUUUUCUUAUUAACUUUACUUUUUCAAGCUGUACAUUUUUGUUCUGUUGCAAACUACUCCAUUCUCAUGGCUUAGAGGAGCUGCAGACAAGUCAUAAAAUUAUGCUACUACUUCCCUACCUUUUCCAUUUUAUUCUAUUAAACUGUUUUUAAAGGAAAUAUAUUUGAAAGUCUUUUUUCCUCAACAAAUAUCUCCUUAUAUAAAGAUUGUCUGUGAAAUAAUUAAGAUUGCUCAGUGCUAACCUAGAAAAGGAUUGCACAACACUGACAAAUAACCCCCUAGACAUAAGGACAUGACAAAUGACAGGAUGUCAAAAGCAAAAGGAAGGAGACACCUGCAAAUUAAUUCUGUCAUCUGCUCCCUGCUCACCCACUCACAUCACGUGGGGCUGAAGAAUGAGAGACCUCACCUCAGCAGGGUGGAGAAAGGAUCAGAACAAAGCAGCAGCUGAUCAUAACAGUUACAAUUGAAAAUUGAAAAGGAAAAGCACAGGGAAAAUUGAAAAACUGAAUUUAAAUACAGAGAUGACGAAAGAGAGGAGAUAAAACACCCCAGGCAAUUGAAGAGGGAAGACCGCAUUAGAAGAAAAGCAGGGGUUAGUCCUGCAGCAGACUUACACCUGAGGGACCCUCUGUGCCAGGGCACAGUGAGGGGACUGAGGGGUGGCACUGCUGCUUCUGAGCCUGCAGAGCCAUUCCCCAGUUGUGGAAGAGGAAGAAGGCAGGUACAGGCAUGAGUGAUAUCCACCACCCUUGCUGAACUCCACUGGAAGGCUGCCAAAAAGGGAACACAAUUGAGGAUUAAUUAAACUAUGAGCAAACUACCAUUGCUGAGAAAAUCCUUCCCUCCUACCUGUGCCUGAGAAACUGGAAGAGGAAAGGAAGACUGAAGUGCAGGAGCACCCAUCACCCUGAGGAUGGCUUUGUGACUCUGGAGGAUCCCCUGGGACAUUUGCUGCUCCCUUCAUGCAGACAAACCACACUGCUCCUGCUACAUUGCAGGUUAAACCAUCCAAAAAUGGAGCAACCAGCAGGGAAAUUGUCUGUAUUUCUAGUAGGCUUUUUCCCAUUAGUGUUAGAGCAGGUCCUCACAUCAGGAUACAGAUGCCUGGCUGAAAAGGUGCAAAAUUUUCCUGACAGCAUGCCUUUAAGGAAAUAUUUGUGUGGAGAAGGGCUACAUUUGUGGGAAUCUACCUCAGGGUAUCCUUAUCAAUGCACAUUUGCUUUCCCUCCUUGGGAGCAGGUACCACUAUCAGUGUAAAAUGAUAGCUUAAUUGUUGGAGUACUUACAUGGUUUUAAUGAGUAGCUGCUUAAAUGGUCCAGCAAUUCCACACACAAAUAUUUGACCCCAGGGCUACAGUAAUUUAUGGACCUCCCAAUUACAGAGAGAACUCUUUUGUCUUUUGCUUUGCACUUGGACUGUUCCUUUUAUUACUUAUUCCGUAUCCUUUCCCACUGUUCCCCUGUGGAGCUUCAGGUGAUUGUGCGAAAUGACAGAAGGACAUGUACAUUACCCACACAUAUGAGGGAAAAGGGUCUGUUUAUCUACAAACCUGGCAAACAAAAUACAGGAAUUGUGGAGAAGUUUAUGUGGAAAAGUUCCAGGUAAUUUUUUUCCCCUAGAACAAUGCAAAAAAAAGAUGUGAGCUAAAAAAAAUGGGGUCCAGAGCUAGAGGUUCAAUGUAAUAUAUGGAUUUGCCCAUAGCUAAAUGUUGGAAUCCUGACCUUUUAGGUGUCAAUAACUGCGGUAAAUGUUUAUGAGAGGGAAAAAUGGAAAUUCUCAUCUAAUUCAAGUCAUGCCAGAAACAGAUUUUCAUUGUCUACAGUGAUAUAGAAACUGUAUCAAGCACAGCCUGAUCGUAUUAAAAUUUUUAAUUACAAAGUCCUAUGCAACUAUGAACAAAGUCUUUGGUUGUUUCUUAAUGAAGUCCAACUUAAGACACACAUUCCAGUACUUAAAAAUUCUUGCUGUUUAUGGUAAGGGAUUCAUUAAAGUACUUUCAAAAUAUAAAUUAUGUAUCUUUCAUAUAAUAUUUGCAAAAUCUGUUUUAAAUGUGUGCUUCUCAGAGCUGAUAAAACUACAACAGAAUUAGAAAAGAGGAAAGCCAAAAGUAAUCUCUGUCUAAUGAAUAACAACAUUUUCAACUAUUUGGAUGAGCUAAAAAUACACAGCUUGGAUGAGGAAAGACAGCUUUGACCUAAAAAUAGCAAAGCCAAAAAAUAUUUAAGACAAAACAAAAAAAAACAAAACCAAAACCUAAAUAAUUCUUAAGAUUUUUUGCAGAGCUUUAAUAUUUAUAACCUCUUUUCCCAAGCAGAGCUUCAAAACACAAAGAGAACGUGAAAUUGAUAACAAAGGAAAGACGCCAAGAAUGUACAAAAUAGAAAGAAUUUUUGCAUUCCUUCUGUGAACAUGGAAGUCCUCCCUCUGAAGCAAUUUAUCUUGGCUGAUGAGGGAUUGGUGGGUGUGCCCAAGACAAAACUCAUCAGACAAAGGCAUGUUUGUUUGCUUUUCAUUUAUCUUGAAGUCAAAAGCACAAUAUGUGUCAGUGCCAAUGUGGGCCUUUCCAGAUCUUCACUCUGCAGUGGGAUAUGAGAUGAAGAGAAAUUUUCUUCCAAAGGGAGGACAGGUCUGCAACUAACUCCAUGGUUAUCAUAAAUUUGUAUAAUAAGUAGCCUUUGGAAUGGCUGUACAAGCAUAGUGAAAAGCAUUCUAAACAGAUAAGACAAAUAAAGCCUGAAAGCAGCAUCAAAGACAGAGGUGACACAGUCUGUUCCACCUCCUACAGUAGAAUAAUGGCCCACUCAUUGCUACAACUGUUGGACUAUAGGGCCUUGCUCCCUGCAGUGACGUUCUACCCCAAAGAAAUGCAGAUCCUUAAAUUAGCAUAAAUUAGUCACUCAGAACCCACUCCAGCUAAAAACUCAGGCCUAACUGGAAGACAAACUUUCUUGUUUUAUGUUUUUGAUUCCAGUCUUGAAAAAUCUGUCUUUGAAGAAUAGCCCAUGGAGAUUUUAUUUACUUCCAAAGACAUUGAAGAAAGAAGAUAUCCACUGCACUUGCAUAAUUCCUGGUCAAGACCUAGGGCUGGCUUUAGGCUGUAUGAGCUUUAGAGGACUCUCAGCCUCCCUGUUGCAGUGUGCCAAAUCCUACCAAAGCCUGAAUUUUACCCCUGCUGUCCUUAAUCCUGGACAGAAUUGUAUUGCAGUUUUUCAAUCCCUCAAACUCUGUGGCAAUAAAUGGCAUUUGAUAUUUUAUCCACGGCCUAUUUAUCACAGGAAGAACCCAUGAAGAAGGGUGAGGUCGAUGCCUUCCAGAAGCAAGGUAGAGAGAAAAGCUUCUGCCUAAAAAAGAUCUACAAGGAAUUUAUCAUGAGUUUCAGAAGAAAAAACAAUAUAUUUGGUUUUGUUACAAUCCCUUCCUGCAUUCAACCAGUUCUAUCUCACAUGCCUGUUACUGAAAUAGUGAAAGACCACUAAAAUGCCCAAGACCACUACAAGAAGCAUUUGUGUUUUCAGAGGUAAGUCAGCAACAGAACAUUACAUAGGAAAUGUGGACUCUCUUACAAUUUCUGGCAUUUAUCUUUAAAGCAGACAGUGACUGCAUGGCACAAAAUAAAUGCAAUUAAAUAGCAAAACCCAGCAACAAUGGGUUAGAAGGAACUUUUGAACUGACUGCAGGGCAGCAAGUUAUCUUUUUCUACAGGUUUUACUCCUGAAGUACAGAAACCUUGGAAAAAUUAUAUCUUUUCAUAAGAUUAAUAUAAAAUGCAAAACAUUCAUAAAUAUGGUUUUAAGCUACUUCAAAUAUAAUGCUGUAAAUCUUAUUACAGACUUCAGAUGUAAUUGUUCUGCUGUUUGUCUCAUAACGCUGUGCCUCUUAACUUUAUAUGGUUACAAAGGGGAUUAAUUUUGCUUUAGUCCUUUGUUUUCUUUUGCUAAUAAAGACCAGACUUGUUUAUUCA